rnacentral:rRNA from 1 species
UGGGGAAUUUUGGACAAUGGGCGAAAGCCUGAUCCAGCAAUGCCGCGUGUGUGAAGAAGGCCUUCGGGUUGUAAAGCACUUUUGUCCGGAAAGAAAUCCUUGGCUCUAAUACAGUCGGGGGAUGACGGUACCGGAAGAAUAAGCACCGGCUAACUACGUGCCAGCAGCCGCGGUAAUACGUAGGGUGCAAGCGUUAAUCGGAAUUACUGGGCGUAAAGCGUGCGCAGGCGGUUUGCUAAGACCGAUGUGAAAUCCCCGGGCUCAACCUGGGAACUGCAUCGGUGACUGGCAGGCUAGAGUAUGGCAGAGGGGGGUAGAAUUCCACGUGUAGCAGUGAAAUGCGUAGAGAUGUGGAGGAAUACCGAUGGCGAAGGCGCCGCCCUGGGCCAAUACUGACGCUCAUGCACGAAAGCGUGGGGAGCAAAACAGGAUUAGAUACCCCUGGUAGUCCACGCCCCUAAACGAUGUCAACUAGUUGUUGGGGAUUCAUUUCCUUAGUAACGUAGCUAACGCGUGAAGUUGACCGCCUGGGGAGUACGGUCGCAAGAUUAAAACUCAAAUGAAUUGACGGGGUCAUAGCUGUUUCCU